CUCCACAGGCUGGCACUCUGAGCUUUACCCUGGAACAUCCCACAGAUCACAGGGAAGUUGUUAGAAGGAAGAAGGUGUUUCCAAGGAACAAAAGGCACUUGUAGAGCGAAUACUAUCAGAGGUUGAUGCUGCUGCACCUGUCCUUUGGUAUCCAUGACCCAUUUCCCCCAUGUCCAAAGACCCUGCCAAGUCACCAUGCCAAUUCUCGGCACUUUCAAAAGUGAAGACCAAGAAGAAAUGUGUUCUGAGGAUUCCCAAAAUCCUGCAGCUAAGAGAAAAGUGAAAGGGAAUUAUUACUGCUUCUAUUUAUUUAUUUGUCUUGAAAUGCUGCCCAGAAUGUCACAGCACACGAUGGGAUGCAGGAUCUCUGCAGAGAAUAAUUCAGUCGAAAUAAAAGACCAGCCCCACUGGGUGCUCACACUUUGCCAGCCACUUCUCAGAUGUUAUCAACCCAGAUG